rnacentral:rRNA from 1 species
UGACUGCUAUCGGAUUGAUACUAAGCCAUGCGAGUCAUUGUAGUAAUACAAGGCAGACGGCUCAGUAACGCGUAGUCAACCUAACCUAUGGACGGGAAUAACCUCGGGAAACUGAGUAUAAUGCCCGAUAGAACAUUAUGCCUGGAAUGGUUUAUGUUCCAAAUGAUUUAUCGCCGUAGGAUGGGACUGCGGCCUAUCAGUUUGUUGGUGAGGUAAUGGCCCACCAAGACUAUUACAGGUACGGGCUCUGAGAGGAGUGGCCCGGAGAUGGGUACUGAGACACGGACCCAGGCCCUAUGGGGCGCAGCAGGCGAGAAAACUUUGCAAUGUGCGAAAGCACGACAAGGUUAAUCCGAGUGGUUUCUGCUAAAGGAACCUUUUGUCGGUCCUAGAAACACCGAUGAAUAAGGGGUGGGCAAGUUCUGGUGUCAGCCGCCGCGGUAAAACCAGCACCUCAAGUGGUCAGGAUGAUUAUUGGGCCUAAAGCAUCCGUAGCCGGCUUUGUUAGUUUUCGGUUAAAUCUGUACGCUUAACGUACAGGCUGCCGGGAAUACUGCAGAGCUAGGGAGUGGGAGAGGUAGACGGUACUCGGUAGGAAGGGGUAAAAUCCUUUGAUCUAUUGAUGACCACCUGUGGCGAAAGCGGUCUACCAGAACACCGUCCGACGGUGAGGGAUGAAAGCUUGGGGGAGCCAAACCGGAUUAGAUACCCGGGUAGG